rnacentral:lncRNA from 13 species
UUCUGUUUGCUCCUGACCUUGGGUAGAGGAGUUUGGGAGCUCCUGGAAGAUGCAGCUGCUGCCUGCUGAAGGAUACGCAGUGGGUCUGGCGUUCGUGGACUCUCCUCUCUCUUCCUCCUCUUCUUCCUUCUCCGGCUGAUGCUCCACCACAGCUGGCUGUGCUCCCUUCUCCAGCCAAGAUUGGGGGGCAGCUUUCAUGAUCACAGAUGACCCCAAUAUUGCUGUGGCUCCUUCUAGCUCCUGAAUAAGCAGAAACAUGAGGACCCUGCCAGGGGACAGGGCUAGUGGGAGUCACAUGGACCAUCAGCUGGGGGCUGCCUGUGCCCUCUUGCUUGGAAAUACAUUUUCUUUCUUUUUUCAAAAGCAGCACCGGUUCAUUAUGGAAGUUUAGAAAAUACGAAUCUGUCAGGAGGCCGGAAUAAGAGCUGCUUCUGACUCCACAGCCCCUGGAGGAUGGGGGUACUGCUUACCUGGAGAUGCUUUGAAAUCACUCAUCGGAGCGCGAUCCACAGGACAAAGUCAGUGGGGAUGGAAGGCGGAGAGUCAGUGAGUCAGGGUCGAAAAUUGAUUAAAGCUGGAGCCAUCCUGCAUCGUAUGGAUCCAGGAGACCUGUCUCUCGUCGCUCGAGACCCACGUAGUCACCAAAUCACCUGGGAAAGGGGAGCCCUCGACCGGGUGAACUCUCAGCCACGCUUCUCCCUCUCCACAGCAGCAGCUUGCUCCCACACCCUCUUGUGGGACCGAAAGGCAGGAAGCAUCUUCUUCCGCCUCUUGGACUUGAGUUUGGCCACAUAACGAACACUGACCAAUGGUGAAUGUGGCAAAAGUGAAGCUUGAAUUGUGCAUGGGCAGUCAGGCUGUCCUUGCAAUUCUGUUCCUGGGCAGCCUGCUGGUCCCAGGAGAACAAGAAACAGUGAGCAGAGCUGAGCCUCACCCACAGCCGGAACCAGCUGGAUGGGCCCUUGAACAGGGGACUCAGAAAGAAAUGUUGUCUGCUGUCUGUGGCUGUGGCUGUUUGUUACACAGCUAUACUGACUGAUACAAUGAGCAAGCCAGGUGAGAAAUGUCUGGUGCUGAUCCUAUUGGUUCAUCUCCCAAACAUCUCUGGUGUUCUUAAUUCCCCACCUCUGUCACCCCUCCCAGGUUCAAGCCAUCACCUUAUACAACAGUCAUAGCGCCAUAGUCCCCCCACCCUGCAGCAUCCCUGCUUCCUUCCCCGCCAGCCCCUCCAGUCCAGUCCCCUCUAGCAUGGAGCCCCUCCAUAGCUCUCUCCUGCUCUUAGAAACCAACCAGACCCCUCUCCAGGUCUCCAUCGUUCUGCCCCUCCCACCCCUGUACCACGAACAUUUUAACCACAGUAACAACCACCCCAUACCCUUCCCUCCAAGACAAUCUCCAGUCAUCCUCCAGUCUCAGCUAACAUGUCAUCUCUUCCAGGAAGCCCUCUGGUUAAGCCCAGCCUCUCUGUCAUAUUCUAAGCACUUACCACGUUGCAUGUUCCGUUAGUGGGUGAUUGAUUCAAGCUGGCCUUUCUCACUGGAAGGUGGCCCAUGAGUGUAGACCCUGCCUACUUGCUCAUCCUUGUGUCCCCAUGCCCAGGCAGGACCUGGCCUAGUCUGGCACCCCGUGGAGAGCUGACAAAUGGACAGACAGUCCAGAAGGCCAGUGAGGGACAGGGGGUGGCCCUGUGGCUCCCAGUUUGCAGGGGGUGGCAAGGAGUCCCAGA